CACGUAGGGACCAAGCGUUGUCCGGAUUCAUUGGGCGUAAAGAGCGCGUAGGCGGUCCGGUAAGUCCGCUCUGAAAGUCCGGGGCUCAACCCCGGGAGGCGGGCGGAUACUGUCGGGCUAGAGUCCGGAAGAGGCGAGUGGAAUUCCUGGUGUAGCGGUGAAAUGCGCAGAUAUCAGGAGGAACACCAAUGGCGAAGGCAGCUCGCUGGGACGGUACUGACGCUGAGGAGCGAAAGCGUGGGGAGCGAACAGG
rnacentral:rRNA from 1 species